UACGAAGGGGGCUAGCGUUGCUCGGAAUUACUGGGCGUAAAGCGCACGUAGGCGGCUUUCUAAGUCGGGGGUGAAAUCCUGGAGCUCAACUCCAGAACUGCCUUCGAUACUGGAAAGCUCGAGUCCGGGAGAGGUGAGUGGAACUGCGAGUGUAGAGGUGAAAUUCGUAGAUAUUCGGAAGAACACCAGUGGCGAAGGCGGCUCACUGGACUGGUAUUGACGCUGAGGUGCGAAAGCGUGGGGAGCAAACGGGG
rnacentral:rRNA from 1 species